rnacentral:rRNA from 1 species
CACGUAGGGGGCAAGCGUUGUCCGGAUUUACUGGGCGUAAAGGGCGCGUAGGCGGCCAGCACAAGUCAGUUGUGAAAUCUCCGAGCUUAACUCGGAAAGGUCAACUGAUACUGUGCGGCUAGAGUGCGGAAGGGGCAACUGGAAUUCUUGGUGUAGCGGUGAAAUGCGUAGAUAUCAAGAGGAACACCUGCGGCGAAGGCGGGUUGCUGGGCCGACACUGACGCUGAGGCGCGAAAGCCAGGGGAGCGAACGGG